UUUUUUUUUAAACACACUUCCCUGGACAUAGGAACCAAUACUGCUUUUCAGUGUCGUAAGGCAGCAGGACCACAGUUCUAGAGAGGUAGCCAUGUGAGCCCUGUGAGCUUUAAGUUACUGAUGAUUUUGGAAACUAGAUGGAUCUGAUUUAAUUUUCAUGUUCAUUGUGUUACAAUAACGCGAUGUUUUCACAGUAAAGAUGGUCCCCAUAAGCUUAUAUUUGAAUGCUUAGUCACCAGGGAGUGAAACUGAAAGGAAUUGUGUCAACAGGGUGGGCUUUGAGGUUUCAAAAGCCCAUUCCAGGCCCCCUUCUCUCUUCCCCUCUGCCUGCAGAUUAGGGUAUAACUCUCAGGUACUGCCCCUGCACCACGUUCCCUGCCUGAUGAUAAUGGGCUGAGCCUCUGAAACUGAAAAGGUCAUCUGCCUGUAUACUCAAUACUUCCCCAUCAACAUUACUGGUCACACAAUUGUGAGUUCCCAGAGUGCACCAUCCCAGAGGCGCUUGGUGGAGCCAGGGCCGCACUUACUCUCUGAUCUUCAGGACUCAGCUCUGACAGAAGCAUCUCCGUGUUGUUCGUGCUCCAUUCCCAACUGUGGUUGAUGAAAUAUUCCAGCAUGGAAAUGGUUCUCAGGAGGCGGUUCAUGAGCUUCAACAUCCUGAGGGAGAGACCACAAAGCUGGUGCAGUGCAUCCUGCCCACUACCUCGUCCUCCACCGCAAGGGUGGCCCAGGAUCAUUAAGAAAGUGCAAGCCCUGGUGGGCUCACACAGUAACACCAGCACUCGGGAGGCUGAGGCAGGAAGACGUGAGAUCAAGAUCAGCCUGGACUACCUACUGAGACCUAGUAAAAGUCUUUCCUCGGUUUGUGGGUCACCUCCUUUGGCACAACAAUAACAGUUUCCACUAUCAAGCUUUUCUUUAAUCUUUUGUACAAAAGUACCUUAUCCCUUCAUGUGAGUGCAUCCUAGCAAUCAGUCUAACAAAUUGCUCAUCCUCUCUAAAGUCUACUUGUACUAAAAGAGUUUAUGCAUGCCUAUGAGUUAGACUUGCCAUUUCUCCUCCCCACUUUCCAUCUAAUUCUGUUAAUAAAGGAAAGAAACUGAA